ACUCUAAAAGCUCAGCUGCCGAGGGUGAUCGGUAUCGGAUCUUGCCGUUUCCCGGCGCCGGAGUCUCCUGGGUCUCCAGCUCGAAUUGCUCGAUCCGACAGUACAGGAUAAUAAAGCAAAUGGGAAAUUUAACCGGGAAGGAGAGAAGGUAAUGGUUGAUAGUCCAAGAGAAAUUAUAAUAGGUGGUUAAACCGGACGUGCUAGUAAUUUAAUUACUCAAUUACUCCCUCCCUACCAAAUUUCAUAAUUUUAUUUUACUUAUUUAUUUAUUAAUAAAAAAGAGAUAAAUUUUUUUUCAUAUUUUAUUCUUUUCAUUAAUUAUUUUUUCUUCAAAUUAAAAUUUAAACAUCGUUUAAUAGAGGUAUUAUGAUAAACUAGUCAUAUUAUUAAUUAUUUUUCUUAAUUAACGUGUCAUCUCAAUUUAAGACGAGGGAGUAUUCAUUUUUACUAAAUGCAUCUUUUUAGGUUGCUCAUCCAAUGUCCCGUGCCCGCAUUAGAGACUCAACUAAUAUGGAUCGCGCAUUGCAGGGCUCAUUAAGGUGCCAGCGCUCCCAAUUUAUUUAAUGCAUUUAUUCUUACACUCUAUUAAUACCUCUCUUAUAUUUAUAAUUUAGCAUAAAAGUGGAAUAAUUAAUUAUGCAUAAAUUUUAUGAAAUGAAAAGCACUAUUAAAAAAAAUAUUUUUAAUAAGGAUGAUAACUAAUUUGGGACGCAAUGAGUAAUUUGAUUAGAGCGAUGAAAUUAUACUUAGCAUAAAAGUGUAGGAUCUUAAAUUUUUAUUCCCUAAUUAUUAGAUUUCGAAUUUUUGUCUCUUACUUAUUUGAUCUUGAAUAUUUGUUCACUACAGUGUGUGUCUUGAAUUUAUGAUCUGCUAAAUAAAUCCUAAAGUUUGUGUAUAAGGCAGAUUUUUUUAUUGGUUUAUAUACAUUUAUCCUAUUGAAAUGUUUUGAAUGAUUGUUUUAUAGCUUAUAGGCAUGAGUUUAAACAUUUUUCUUAUCAAUAAUAAGUUUAAGUUUUAACUUUUCCAUCGAAGGUAUAAUUUUUGAUCAAUUGUACAAAUUUAUUGUUUUUUAAAAAAUCAUGAACAUCGAUUUAUAAGCAACAGUUAGAAAGUCUAUCAUAUGAAUAAGAGUUAAUUAAGGAGGAUCAAAAAAUAAAGAUUAAUUUUUACGGAUGUUAUUUUUAUUAUGAAGAAUAAAAUAUCAAGAAAAUUUUAUUUUAGGAUCAUUUUGAAAUUACCUUUGAUUAAAGUUGUUAAUACGAGAUGACGCAACCCAUUAGAAAUAGCUCACACGGAUUUUGAAAUUUGACGGGCUGACCCAAACGCUCCUUACUAUCAGUAGUGGAGCCAAAAUUUUCAUUAAGGGGGUUCAAAAUCAAAAGAAGUAGGCACACGAACUAGCCGAAGGGGGUUCAACAUCAAUGAUAUAUACAAAAAAAAUAAUUUUAACGUACAGGAUAAUAAAGCAAAUGGGAAAUUUAACCGGGAAGGAGAGAAGGUAAUGGUUGAUAGUCUUAAGAGAAAUUAUAAUAGGUGGUUAAACCGGACGUGCUAGUAAUUUAAUUACUCAAUUACUCCCUCCCUACCAAAUUCCAUAAUUUUAUUUUUUAUUUUACUUAUUUUUUUAUUAAUAAAAAAGAGAUAAAAAAAAUUUUCAUAUUUUAUUCUUUCCAUUAAUUAUUUUUUCUUCAAAUUAAAAUUUAAACAUCGUUUAAUAGGGGUAUUAUGAUAAACUAGUCAUAUUAUUAAUUAUUUUUCUUAAUUAACGUGUCAUCUCAAUUUAAGACGAGGGAGUAUUCAUUUUUACUAAAUGCAUCUUUUUAGGUUGCUCAUCCAAUG
rnacentral:lncRNA from 1 species